rnacentral:misc_RNA from 1 species
GGAACAUACAUGUUCAUGAAAGGUGUAUAGAGGGACCACGUUGUAUGUAUCAUAUCGACUGAUGUUAACGGUCGAAUGGAAAAAAGAAAAGUGAAAAAGAAAAAGACAAUGAUUUCUCCAAUUUUCAAAAAAUUGCCUUCGAUUCUUUCAAACAGACAAAAAAUCGUAAUGGGUUACGCUCAUUGACCAUAUCAUCAUUCACCCACGCAUCACAAUAAAAACAAAACAUUCGAGACCCACUCUGCUUUUCCAGGCAACUUCUUCCAUUCUAUAAUUUUAAAUGGGCCCCAAUUCCUGUCCCCUUCACAGCCGAAAGCUG